AGGUCAGUGAUGAAAUCUUUGCCUCGUGUCUAGAGAGGGAUUGUCUUAAAAAUCUUGCACAAUAGAGUUACACUGAGGACCU
rnacentral:snoRNA from 1 species